UAUGAAAACGAUGUUGAAUAUGGAUGACUUUAAGACUGUGCGACUGUUUGUAGAAGUCUUCAGCGAGUGGUAUUUCCAUAACUGCGCGUCAAACCGAUGUCACAAGCACCUGGCCUUACGGAUUUAUGGAAUUUGCCUCCCUGUGGGCCAAAUGUCGCGAAUAGGAGCUCUUUACUUCAACAAAUCCAAGCGAAG